GAUUUUUCCCCGGGUGGAGGAUAGUCUUUCAUGGGUUCCCGAUGGGUACGUAUUCUUCCAAUUUCUCCUAGGGUUAGUGCUAACUUUGGGCAAUUUGGCUCAUUACUGCGCUAUUGAGCGAGGCUCACCAUUCCAAUUUGUGCGAUUCUCUAUGUAUGAUGGAUCCCAAUUCGUCCUACAGGCUGGCUAUUCGUGUAGGUGCUUAUGUUUAAAUUAUUGAUGAUGGUAGUCGCGAGUAUUGUGAAGCUUUUAACAUUGUUAAGGUCUUAGAGAAAGAUUGCACAAAUUAGAAUGAUUUGCUACUUGAUAUUGGCACAGAUGUUAAGCUAGGCUCUAAACACAAGUUGUGUGUCACUUAUUGGGACAAAUCGAGUCCUUGCUAUGAAGAAAUUACAUCCGACCAAAAAUUGUUGCAUGCAAUUGACAUGUAUUGGGAGAUAAGAAGGCUCUCAUUGCAAGUAUGUGUUAUAAAAAAUGAUGAUUCUGAAUUCCUGCAUGAUACUGGGCACCAACAGAACAUGCCUUGUGUGUUGUAGGGAAGCACUUAUGCCCCAGUUGAUAAAACUAGUGCACCGCCUCCGCUUGAAAUUGCAUCACCCCUCUUAGAGCCUCCAGUUCAAAAUAGGACCGAAGUGGCUUGGGUGGACGAUGAUGUAGAGUAUGUUGGUUUGGAUGAUGAGGACCCUUUCAAAACUUUGCUUUUUGAUUCAUCUGAUUCUGAAUCUGAUGGUGAUGUGGAGUGUGUUGGCUUGGAGGAUAACUUAGUUGUGAAUGAUGCAUGGGUUGUGAGACAAUUGUCCAUGCAACUGCCAACGAUAGCAGUAGGUAUAACUUUUGGGGAUGGUGAUACUUUUAAGAAGGCUAUUAGGCAAUAUGCAAUAAAAGGAGAAUAUGAAAUUGCAGCUCCCUAUUCUGAGUCAACAAGGUAUCGAGGCUAUUGCAAGGCUGAACGGUGCAAGUGGAAGAUACAUGCUUCAAAGUUGCACGAUGAAAGUACUUGGAUGAAGGUACCUUAUGAAUACACUUGUUACAGCACUGGAAAAGUUGAGAAUAACAAAAUGGCAACCAAUCAUUGGGUGAGGGAUUGGGUUCUUAAGUAGCUUACAAAGGACCCUACAAUUGGGGCUGCGGCUCUGAAGAAAAGACUCGAAGAAGAGUAUCACUUGAAGUUGUCAUACUGUAUAGUGUGUGAUGGUAAAAAUAUGGCUUUGGAACAACUCAAAGGGAAGUGGGAUGACAGCUUUCAGCAUGCUUUCAGUUUCAAGGCUGAGGUGGAGAAGACCAAUCCAGGCAGUUUGGUGGACAUUGAAUAUGAGCAAGUUGAGAAAAAGUAGAUAUUUACAAGAAUGUUUGUUGCCCUGAAAUCUUGUGUCGAUGGUUUUCUGAAUGGUUGCAGGCAUUUCUUUGGUGUGGACUCCACUCAUUUGACUGUGAAAUGGAAGGGGCAACUUGCAUCCGCGACUGCUAUUGAUAGGCACAAUUGGAUGUUUCCAGUGUGUUAUGGUGUGUUUGACUCAGAGACAACUGCUAAUUGGGCUUGAUUUUUCAGUGGACUUCAGCAAGCUAUUGGAUCACCUCUGGAUCUAGUUAUCUCAACUGAUACAGGCAAGGGAAUUGAUUCAGCUGUUACUAAAGUCUUCAAAAAUGGGGUUGAGCAUAGAGAGUGCAUGAGGCACUUAGUUGCAAACUUCCAAAAGCGAUUUCGAGAUGAGGUCUCUAAGAAACACUUAUGGCCAACAAGUUACUGGUAUACCAUGUACACAUGCUUUGUGCAUUAUCACUUCAGUUAGAGGUAAUAUUGAAGACUAUAUUCAUAAGUACUACUCUGUUGCAAAGUUCAAGAAAGUGUAUAAAAAAUGUGUGAAGCCAAUGACAGAUAAGAAAUAGUGGCCUCCAGUAGACCUUGGGUUCAAGUUGUGGCCUCUAAUUCUGAAAAGGGCAGCCUGAAGACCAAGAGAAAGGAGAUAUAAAUCCAUUGCAGAAGGUGGUGGGGGACAAAAUGGAGAUUCACAAUAUGCAGAAGGUGCAAAGGAAAGGGACACAUGGCAAAAACAUGCAAUAAAUUUGUUUAUGAUUCUGAUGCCCCAACCUGCCCCUCCAGAGCCAAAGAGAUAGAGAGGCAAGAUAAAUAUCACAGUAGUGUCAUCUAGUGGUUCUACACCACCUAGAGCCAUCCUUAGUGCUUCUACACCAACUAGAGCCAUCACUUGUGCUUCUACAACAAGCCUUGUUACAAGAAGUAUGUUAAGGACAUUGAUGGAAUUAGAACCAUCUACACCAACUAGAGCAUCACUCCUAUUUCUACUCCAAGUUCUAUGAUAAGGGAGGAUGCUAGAAGUUGAAGGCACCAUAGAGCCUUUUGAAUAUGCACCCACAUCUCCAGUUGCUGUUGAGAAGGGAAAGGCAAAAAAGUUGAAGGUUGUGGUUCAAGAAAAUAUAAGCUAUGCGCCGUGUGUCAUGUAAUAUGUGGAUUUGGAGUAAAAUACGUUAUUUUGUAUUGCUGUACUUGAUAGCCAAAUGUGGCUGAAACCAUGUUAUUUUGUGUUGCUGUACUUGAUAGCCAAAUGGGGUUGAAACCAUGUUAUUUUGCUGAAUCAUGUGUUUUUAUAUUGCUGGACGUGCUUUUCUGAGUGCAAUAUGAUAUGUUUAAUGGGUA